UACGAAGGACCCGAGCGUUAUCCGGAUUUAUUGGGUUUAAAGGGUGCGUAGGCGGACACGCAAGUCAGUGGUGAAAUCCCUCAGCUUAACUGAGGAACUGCCAUUGAAACUAUGUGUCUUGAGUACAUUUGAGGCGGGCGGAAUGUGUCAUGUAGAGGUGAAAUUCUUAGAUAUGACACAGAACACCAAUUGCGAAGGCAGCUCGCUAAACUGUAAACUGACGCUGAGGCACGAAAGCGUGGGGAUCAAACAGG
rnacentral:rRNA from 1 species